ACCACUCUGGGGUCACUUUGUGUCCCUUUGGGGGUCACUCCGUGGUCACUUUGGAGUCACUUUGGCCUCCUUGCCAUCACCCCAGUGGUCACUCCUUCGAUGUCCAGCAGGGUCCAGAUGUCCAGUGGUCACUCCCCACCACUCUGGGGUCACUCUCCCCCACUUUGGGUCACUCUCCCCCAUUUUGGGGUCACUUUGUCCCACUUUUGGGGUCACUUUGUCCCACUUUGGGGUCACUUUGUGUCACUUUGUCCCACUUUGUGCCACUUUUGGGGUCACUUUGUGCCACUCUGGCGGUCACUCUGGCGGUCACUCUGGUGGUCACUCUGUGGUCACUCUGUGGUCACUUCACCCUUCUUACCAGCACCCCAGUGGUCACUCUCCCCCAUUUUGGGGUCAUUCUCCCCCAUUUUGGGGUCACUUUGUCCCACUUUGUGCCACAUUUGGGGUCACUUUGUGCCACUCUGGUGGUCACUCUGUGGUCUCUCUGUGGUCACUUCACCCUUCUUACCAGCACCCCAGUGGUCACUCUCCCCCAUUUUGGGGUCACUUUGUCCCACUUUGGGGUCACUUUGUGCCACNAGCUUUAAACAACUGUGUGUUUAAUAAAGGGCUUUAAACAACCCUGUCCCCAAUAAAGGACUUAAAACAGUUGCGUCCUAAAGUCUA
rnacentral:lncRNA from 1 species